GCCAUGGGCUCCGGGCUCUUCCCAGCGGUAGUUGCAGACUUCGUGCGGGGGAUUGGUGUGGCCGGCGGGGAGACCUGUGUGCGCAGGUCCCGAGCUGCGCCUCUCUGUCCCUUCUCUUCUCUCCACCCGCGGAGAGCAGCCGGAGCCCCCGGCCUGGGUCCCGCUGCCCUCCCGGCCAGCGGUCUUCAGGCUCUGUCUGCGCUGGGCAUUGCGGGGGUGGGGGGGGCUCCUGGAGAUUUUUCGGGACGUUUCCGCCGCCUUGGUUCGUUCCUGCCUGGCUUCACGGUGGCCGAUCUCGUUUUCUACUUUCUAGGUGUGCCUUGGACUCUCGCCCUCGGAGGGAGGCCGGUCUGAGCGGUCUCCGGGUGCGAAUCCCUGGAUCCUCUUGGGGGUCGCCGGGCGUAGCUGCGGGAGUGCACCGAGGACUCUUCAUCAAGCAGCUGUGACCAACAUAGAACCUCCAGCCAAGAAUCAAGCUCAAGCUGUUCGGCUGCUCAAGGUCUGGAAAAGCAUUCUUGUAGGAUCUCUCCAGUGUGGGCUGCUGAGGAACUUUUUCAGAAGGUGCCAGCCCAGACUCCAUUCCAGCAGCUCCACCUCGUUCCGCCUCUGGUCCCUGGCUUCUAAGCCAGCAGGUGGGAGCAUCCAUGCCGGAGACUGUCUCUCCAGUCAUCUAUUUCCUGGACAUCUGAAAUGAGAAAAAAGGAUAACCACAUCAGGAACCCCACAUAAGCACUGCUCAUGGAAUGUUCAUGUAAAGAAAGCUCCAGUCUACGACCCCAAGCACCCUGCUGGUUUGAGGGAUUUGGUUUUGCAACCAGUGCUGAGUCCUCAUCUUUGACAAGUGUAUUUCUGACUCCUUCUGAGAUCAACAACCCUAGCAUUCUCCCCCAAUUCCUGAGUGAUGUCCACAAAGAGAAGGGGGAAAAGCUAACUUCAGACUCCACUCCCAGACAGAUAUCUGAGCUCUUCAAUAUGAAGCCCUUUGUUCACUUGGCUUUGAAACCCAGGAUCUCCUGUUUCUCCUCCCAAGUGCAGGACCAUCCCUGUCUACACUCCUAUGUUGGGAUGCUGUGGUACACAAGGUUCAUGCCUAGACUUCUUUUCUCAUUUCCUAAUCAACUACCAAGGUGAUCUCUGUAAGUAGGACUAUCAGCUUUAAGCUACCAAUUUCCAAAUUUGUAUCUCCAAAAGUAAUGUCAAUUCUAAAAUCUAGAUUUUAAAAAAACCUAUGUCAAAACUGGAAAAGAAUUAACUCAAACUGAAGCUAUGCCAAAAUAACACUUAAAAAUAAUCCCGCUAAAACUGUCUUUUGUGACAUUCUUCCUAAAAUAUCGCACUCCAUUUUUCUCUCACUCUGGCAAAAUGUUCCUCAUGGUUCUCAUCCAGCUACUAAACAUACACGAUUUUCUUUGUUCUUUCUCAUCGGUAUGUAAACUCUAUGAAAGAUGGACAUCAUUCUGAUCACUGCUGUUGUAUGUAUAAAAUUGUCAGCACUUAAAACCUGCUGAAUUAAGAGGUUCUGAAAGAAGAAUUAAAUGUAUAAAUACAUGUCUAAAAAAACAGUUCAUUAAAAUAGAGAACAGAGGGCAACUGAGAAUAUUGAGAAAGUGAAUAGCACAGAAAUAUGUCUAUAAAAAGAGGAAGACAGGGAUUCGAUUUUGAGUAAAUAUAAGAAAAUAUUCAGUGAAAUAAAAGGACGGACAUGUGUGUGAGAGCCCUCCUUGCAGACUAUGUAAUGCAUGUGGCUGAUGAAUGCAGACCAGCUGUCCUUAGGUCUAGGAAAUGGGGGAGGAAAUCAGUGUAACAGCUGAACAUGGCCCACAUCUGCGGGGCUCUACUCUUCCUAGCCUCCCAGCCCACUAUGCAAUUACUGACCUGGGAGGCUCUGGUUUG